GAUGAACGCUGGCGGCGUGCCUAAUACAUGCAAGUCGAGCGAAUGGAUUAAGAGCUUGCUCUUAUGAAGUUAGCGGCGGACAGGUGAGUAACACGUGGGUAACCUGCCCAUAAGACUGGGAUAACUCCGGGAAACCGGGGCUACUACCGGAUAACAUUUUGAACCGCAUGGUUCGAAAUUGAAAGGCGGCUUCGGCUGUCACUUAUGGCUGGACCCGCGUCGCAUUAGCCAGUUGGUGAGGUACCGGCUCACCAAGGUAACGAUGCGUAGCCGACCUGAGAGGGUGAUCGGCCACACUGGGACUGAGACACGGCCCAGACUCCUACGGGAGGCAGCAGUAGGGAAUCUUCCGCAAUGGACGAAAGUCUGACGGAGCAACGCCGCGUGAGUGAUGAAGGCUUUCGGGUCGUAAAACUCUGUUGUUAGGGAAGAACAAGUGCUAGUUGAAUAAGCUGGCACCUUGACGGUACCUAACCAGAAAGCCACGGCUAACUACGUGCCAGCCGCCGCCGUAA
rnacentral:rRNA from 1 species